rnacentral:rRNA from 1 species
AGUACGGCGAGCGACAGGGAGAGCCCAGCGCCGAAUCCCGCCCCGGAGACGGGGCCGGGAAAUGUGGCGUUCGGGAGGACGGCAGGCCGAAGGCAGGCGCAGCAGCAAGUCCCCCUGACCGGGGCUGCCAAUCCAGAGCGGGUGCCAGGCCCGUGGCUGCAGUGCCGGCCGGCGGCGGUCGCCUCCCAGGAGUCGGGUUGCUUGGGAGUGCAGCCCUAAUCGGGAGGUAAACUCCUCCUAAGGCUAAAUACGGCCGCGAGACCGAUAGCAAACAAGUACCGUGAGGGAAAGUUGCAAAGAACUUUGAAGAGAGAGUUCAAGAGUACGUGAAACUGCUCAGAGGGAAACGGGUGGGCCCUCGAAGUCCGGCGGCGGGAGGAUUCAGUCGCGAACACUCGGAGGACAGCCGGGCGCGCCGCGCCGCCCCUGAAGGGCGGAGGCGAGCGCCAAGUCGGAGACGUCGCUUCCUUGUGGUCCGGCGCAUUUCCUUCCCGCCCUGAGGACGCCGCCACCGGUCGGGUGCCAGAGCGGCCGUGAGGACGGGAGCCGGCAGGGGGCCGGGGGACAGCCUUAGCGCUGGCCUCCGGUCUUUGGCCUUCCUGUCCGGGCACGCCACCCGACCGAUUCGAACCAAGAGGUCCCCUGGACCUCGCCGCCUCCUUUCCUCCUGCAGGGAGCGGACGCCGCGGCAGGAGUGCCCCGUCCCUUCGCCACACGGGAUAGACCCGGGGGCGGAGGGAUCGAGACUUUUGGCUUCGCUGGCCGCGGACUUUUCCGCGGGAGGAUGCCUCGGCGGUCUG